rnacentral:rRNA from 1 species
AACACGUACACAACCUUCCUAUAAGUGGGGAAUAGCCCAGAGAAAUUUGGAUUAAUACCCCGUAACAUAAUGAUGUGGCAUCACAUUAUUAUUAUAGCUUCGGCGCUUAUUGAUGGGUGUGCGGCUGAUUAGAUAGUUGGCGGGGUAACGGCCCACCAAGUCUACGAUCAGUAGCUGAUGUGAGAGCAUGAUCAGCCACACGGGCACUGAGACACGGGCCCGACUCCUACGGGAGGCAGCAGUAAGGAAUAUUGGUCAAUGGACGCAAGUCUGAACCAGCCAUGCCGCGUGAAGGAUUAAGGUCCUCUGGAUUGUAAACUUCUUUUAUCUGGGACGAAAAAAGGCUAUUCUUAGUCACUUGACGGUACCAGAUGAAUAAGCACCGGCUAACUCCGUGCCAGCAGCCGCGGUAAUACGGAGGGUGCAAGCGUUAUCCGGAUUCACUGGGUUUAAAGGGUGCGUAGGCGGGCAGGUAAGUCAGUGGUGAAAUCCUGGAGCUUAACUCCAGAACUGCCAUUGAUACUAUCUGUCUUGAAUAUUGUGGAGGUAAGCGGAAUAUGUCAUGUAGCGGUGAAAUGCUUAGAUAUGACAUAG